rnacentral:lncRNA from 1 species
CAUAUAUUCUGGAGAUGUGAUGCAAAUAUAUAUAGAGUGCCAGGAGGAUGUAACUACUUGUGCCACUACCGAUGCCACUUAAGAAGCUACUCUAGCUAUUGCAGAAAUACCUCUAGUUACUGCAUCUUCUUCAGCUAUUACAGGGGUACCUUCACAAGAGGACAAUAAGAGUCAAUUCAUAGGUGUCCGAAUCACUACUGUAAAGGUAUCCACUAUCAAGGAUGUAGCUGCAUCCACACCAAAGAUCUAAAAAAAAAGGUUGGUGGAAGAAAACC